UCGAACUAUGGGCUUCUUGCAAUAUUUCUUCUUUUAAUUUCGGUACUAACGGUACCCAUAGUCUACAUUUGAAUCACAAUAACCCCUUGUUAUCGAGUUUAAACUCAUUUUCCCCUUCGUAAAUUCUAUUCUUUAACCUCUCACACUCCUUAUCUUUAAGUUGUAUCUUUUUACUCUGCCCAAUAUGGUGGAUGUUGUUGUUGUUUGUGGUGGAUCAUGAAGGAUCUGAAGAUAUAAGGAGGUUGUGAUGGAGUUUAUAUGUUAUAAUUGUGAGACCCCGAAUUUUAUGAAAUAAAAGUAUUCAAUUUUUCUAUUUUGGUAAAUAGUUAAAUUGAUAAAAGUUUAAAGUUAAGGGUGAUAUGUGAAUUUUUUUUAAAGUAGACAAGUUGUCAUAAAAUACCCGGUUACUAUUCACUCUAGUAUUGUUCACUCGAGUAUUUGGGGCACUUUUUAUGUCAGAGUACUAUUCACGAGUUACUAUUCACGGGUUACUAUUCACCCAAAUAUUAUUCACUCGGGUAUUUGGGAUAUUUUUCGUGUCAGAGUACUAUUCACGGGUUACUAUUCACCCGAUUACUAUUCACUCUCGUAUUGUUCACUCGGGUAUUUGGGACACUUUUUGUGUCGGGAUACUAUUCACAGGGUACUAUUCCCGAAGUACUAUUCACAGAGUACUAUUCACCUGAAAAAUAUAUUUUUUUCGGUCCAAAUCAUUUUUUGGUACAAUAUUAUUUCAUGAGGAGAUGUGCUAAUUUUUCAGACAGUUGGUUGAAAUUAUAAUAGUAAAUCAAUAUGGAUCGUUGGUUUAAAGUUUUAAUAGUAAAUCAGUAUGGACCGUUGCUUUAAGUUUUAAUAGUAAAUCAAUCUGGACCGUCCGUUUAAAAGUAAAUCAAUCUGGACCGUUCAUGAAUUAGUUACUAUGCAGUCCAUUCUCCUAUAAAUAGAAGCUCAUUCCUUCAUUAUUUCUUACGAAUUCACUGAAACUCUAGAUAGAGAAACUAUAGAGAGAGUUCUUCUUCUAUAAUCUUGAGCGUAUUUAUUUAGAGUUUAAGAAAGCUUUGAGCGUAGUGCAAGUUUUCUUCGAGUAUAUCCUCUCCCUACCAGUCGGAAUACUCUUCUUUCAAAGAUAAGGAAUAUUAUUUGUUGUACUCAUAAGGGGUAUUCUUUCUUUCUUAUUCAUGAAGAGAACUUCUGUUAUUCCAUUCUUUAUUAUUCUGUCGGAAUAUCCUGUCUGUGCAUUUUAUGCCGGACCUAGUUCCAUUAUUUAUUAUUCUGUUGGAAUAACCUAUCUGUGCGAUCUAUCGCAUGCAUUUUGAAUUCUGUUGUUAUUC
rnacentral:lncRNA from 1 species